rnacentral:rRNA from 1 species
GAUGAACGCUGGCGGCGUGCCUAAUACAUGCAAGUCGAGCGAACAGACGAGGAGCUUGCUCCUCUGACGUUAGCGGCGGACGGGUGAGUAACACGUGGAUAACCUACCUAUAAGACUGGGAUAACUUCGGGAAACCGGAGCUAAUACCGGAUAAUAUAUUGAACCGCAUGGUUCAAUAGUGAAAGACGGUUUUGCUGUCACUUAUAGAUGGAUCCGCGCCGCAUUAGCUAGUUGGUAAGGUAACGGCUUACCAAGGCAACGAUGCGUAGCCGACCUGAGAGGGUGAUCGGCCACACUGGAACUGAGACACGGUCCAGACUCUUACGGGAGGCAGCAGUAGGGAAUCUUCCGCAAGGGGCGAAAGCCUGACGGAGCAACGCCGCGUGAGUGAUGAAGGUCUUCGGAUCGUAAAACUCUGUUAUUAGGGAAGAACAAAUGUGUAAGUAACUAUGCACGUCUUGACGGUACCUAAUCAGAAAGCCACGGCUAACUACG